rnacentral:rRNA from 1 species
CACGUAGGCACCAAGCGUUGUCCGGAUUUAUUGGGCGUAAAGAGCUCGUAGGCGGUUCGGUAAGUCGGGUGUGAAAACUUUGGGCUUAACCCAAAGCCUGCAUCCGAUACUGCUGUGACUAGAGUUCGGUAGGGGAGCGGGGAAUUCCUAGUGUAGCGGUGAAAUGCGCAGAUAUUAGGAGGAACACCGGUGGCGAAGGCGCCGCUCUGGGCCGAUACUGACGCUGAGGAGCGAAAGCGUGGGGAGCGAACAGG